CUGCACAGAAGCUGCGGCUCCACAAUCCUUUUGGCGAAUGGCAUUUUGUUCGCCAAAAAUAACAGAGACUGCGAGCCAAGUGUAUAUCCCCACUGCCUAGAAGAAAAAGGUUAUUGACGCAGCUUGUAUCCGUGGCCUGAAGAGCGUUCAGACAGUGAAGAUGAGAGUUGACUGAGGUAAAACACGGAGGUGUGGAUAUCUGUGGACAGGGAACGGUCACAGGGUUUCAUCCCUACAAGCACACUGUGAUACAAAUACCUCUGACCAGGAAGAAUACCUGCUGAUUUGGACUGGACUGUUUUAUUAUUUUUUUAAAAACAGAAAGAAAAAUCCUCAGUAAGAUUAAUAAAUUGAUUGUCAA